rnacentral:rRNA from 1 species
GACGAACGCUGGCGGCGCGCUUAACACAUGCAAGUCGAGCGAGAACCAGACCUUCGGGUCUGGGGACAGCGGCGAACGGGUGAGUAACACGUGGGUAAUCUGCCCUCGAUUCUGGGAUAGCCCGGGGAAACCCGGAUUAAUACCGGAUAGCCUCUUGAGCUUUCGGGCUCUCGAGAAAAGGUAGCUUCGGCCUCCGAUCGAGGAUGAGCCCGCGGCGGAUUAGCUUGUUGGCGGGGUAACGGCCCACCAAGGCGACGAUCCGUAGCUGGUCUGAGAGGACGAUCAGCCACACUGGGACUGAGACACGGCCCAGACUCCUACGGGAGGCAGCAGUGGGGAAUCUUGCGCAAUGGGCGAAAGCCUGACGCAGCGACGCCGCGUGAGGGAAGAAGGCCUUCGGGUUGUAAACCUCUUUCAGGAGGGACGAAGCCACUCGGGUUAAUAGCCCAGAGGGUGACGGUACCUCCAGAAGAAGCCCCGGCUAACUACGUGCCAGCCGCCGCCGUAACAC